rnacentral:lncRNA from 1 species
AAUUAAAUAGCAUUUGAUAUGGUGAUAUGACAAGGAACCCAUGCUUUCACAUAGAAGCAAUUGCACCUGCAACUAGCAACACUAACACAAGGUUAAGCAAGCAGUAACAUAGCCAAUCAGUGGUUUGCUAGGUCGAACAGGUUGAAGGUUAACAUGGCAUUGUUGAGAGGCUGAUAUUUAACAUGUGGUAGGCAACGAGACUUAAUCGAUAGAAGCGAUAAAACUAGCAUGGCAAUGAUAGAAAUGGUAUCUGGGAAAUGGUCAUCUUGCCUGAGAUCCCGCUUGGAAGAAGAAUGCCUCCGUGAAGCAAACGAACCGACGUAGUCGACCGGGUCCUCACAUCUGACACGCUUGCGGAGCUCUAUCGAGACGGGGGAAACCGGAACAAGCAUCAACAAACGAUAUUCACCACACGAUGCACAACACAAAUGAUGCAUGAGCAGCUGAAUACAUGCAAGUCACGACAUGACAAUUCACGACAAUCAAACACUACACAUUAAGUGAAGUUCAAUAUGCAACGAGUUGCAUAUUGACGAAACUCCACGUUUAUUUAUUUAGUUCUAUCCCGAUUAGGUACACGGCAAUAUUAAAUGUGCUUAAACAUGGCAAGAGGUGAAGCGUAAUUUAAACUACCUAUCUAGGCAUUUUAAAUGAGGUUGGAAAUGACAUAUAACACCUCCGAGACGACCUCACAUGUUAAUUUACAGUUCUGUCCAGAUCUGAACUAACACAUUUAAUUAGUUUUUAAACAGCAAAACAAAUAGGUUCACGUGAUCCUACACGUCAUUUCAAGCAAUCUACGCAUAGAGAACAUCUCCAACGGAGCUACGGAUCAAAAGAUACAAGCACCGCAAGAUAUGAUGGCAUGAAUGCAAUAUGUGUGCAACGACGUUCGCGAGCACUUCAAAACAUAAAACCAGCAAGAGAAAAUGAAACUACACGAGAUUCUAAGCAAGUUUCAUGUAGGACACGAUCAAAUCGGAGCUACGGUUCAACAACUACGAGCAAAACAAGAAAUCACCACAAUCUGCCAAAAUCAGCCACAUAGCAUUUUCUAUACCCCACAACUACGAGCUACUCAACUCAAAUAUAAUCAACCAAGGCAUGACACGAAAGAGGGCAAGAAGCACUACAACAAACAACUAACAACAACUAGCAUGACAGCAAGGAACACUAGGAAAAGAAGACACAAAAUGGCAUCUCAGACACUAUUUCAGACUUGGUGAAAAUUACACUUCAUGAAAGUGCAGUUUUCGAUCUGAAGGCAUAUUGACAGCAGCAAAAUCAUAAGCUACAGGACUCCAAAUAGCAUGAAAAUUCACAGCAUGCUAGAGAAUCACAAGGGUUACAACUAACUUCAUUGCACAAACCUCAAAAGAGCUACAGAACAAAAGAUAGAAGCACGACAAGACAGCAACAAAAUAUAACAGAUCCCAGACUUAGAAAUAUUUCAGCACCUACAAAAUCAGCACUAUUUCUAGCAACUUAAGAGCAAGCAAACCACACCUAAACAUGCAUUUCUAUUGCAACCAAAAAUACCAGAGGCUAGAGU